CCCAACGCUUUUUUCCUCUUGAGCAAAAACAUCCCGCCUAACCAAAUUACCUUUCCCUCUCCCACUGCGCACAAGCCCUAUCAUAGAGCCUUUCUGUUUUUCAAGGCUUACGGACCAAGAAGCCUUGCUACCUGCUUCCGUGAAGACCGUGAAAACAAGAAGCCCUAAAUUCCUGAAGUCGUACUGCACGAGAAGCCUUGCGACAUUGCUGCUGUAAAGCUGCUGUCGUGAAUUUGCCGCCGUGAAGCCCUUUCAGUAGUGAAACACUCUUAGCUGUUAAGCUCUCUCAUCUGUGAAGGUCGCGAAAACCUCUCGUUCUUGAAGACUGCCAUUUGACGAAUUGUUUAACAUCAGCAGAAUGGCUGGCUAAUGCGGCAGCUUCAGGUAUAAAAACAGAGGUGGAAAUGCCUCGUUGAUGCUCAGGAUUGUUGCCGUGAUGCAAGAAGUAAGGAUUGGUAGGAUCCCCAGGGGUGUUGAACAGAGAAGACGAUGAAAAAGACUCCAUUGAUGAGAAGCACAACAGCAGAAAAAGAGAAUCGCCUUCGAGAAAAUCAGAGUUCUCAACUUCGAUGAUCAAAUCAAAACUGUGCUAGCGAAGAAGAAAAUUGCUGCGAAGUGAAGACAAAAACUAUGGCCAAGCCGAAUCCAUAGAAAUCAAAUUAAGAGUCACGUAGCAGAAUCUAAGCAUCAACUUCGAUAAAAUUUCUUUCACCUACCUGCGUAACUGAAGAUCGCAACUGGUGAUACACGUGGGAGGCCUCAACGUCAAUGCUGAGCUCUAGAUCCAGGAACGUGAGAAACCCAAUCUUCACGAAAUUGACACAACAGAGAACUUGUAAAAGCAUAAUUACACAGUGAGAAUCACGCGAAGGCUAGGGUUUCAUGCUGAGAAGAAAUGGCGGAAAUUUAGAGAAGCUCACGAGUGACGAGACACGACAUAGACGGAGUGAGGGAAUGGCGGGAGCUGGUGGGAGAGCACUCUGAUACCAUGUAAAGAAACAAAGAAAUUGUAUAUUCCAGAAUGAUCUGUGAAUGUACUGUACAACAGUAUUUGUACUUAUACAUUUAAUGAACAAAAUACAUUCCAAUUA